rnacentral:lncRNA from 1 species
CAUCAUAUGUGGUCAGUCUUCCUUCAUCAAAAUGUUCCAUGGCAAUCCAAUAGGAUUGAUGCCUCUAAUACCAAUUUUUAUUAGAAAAUAUAAGUUUAUUCAAUUAUUGGCAUCAGUAUACAACAUUGCAUUGCAUAAGCUAAGAAACUUUGUGGCUCUCAUUUUAAUAUGGAACCGAACUGUCUACAACAGCACUGAAGAUGAUGCUGGUUGGUUUCGCAUUCCAAUUGAUAAGGUGGGCGAAAGCCUCUUUCUAAGCAGUCACUCUGGCAAGACUCAUGAGUGCAACCCGCUAAAUCUCUGCAUGAGCGGCGUUGAACUACAAUGCAAUACAUCACAUAAAAAAAUUAGUAAUACAGUCCAUGAAAAAAUAUAUUUUCUCAUAGAUUAAUUAAUUUCAACAUUUGGAAACAGCAUGUAAAAUAUAAAUAGUGUUGCUUACUUGCUUGGCAGGACGGCAACGUUGAGAACAUGAACACAAUGACCAAUAAAGCAACAACUAUGUUGUCCAUGACCAUCCUUGUGUUUCUCUUGAUGAGUGCCAUGAGGAAAAAUGUGACUUAUGUUCAAUCUUUGUUUUUCAUUUCCAAGCUCCUUUACAGGUGUUUAUAUAGAUGCACAAUAAAAUCUUAGAUAUCAAUUGGUUGAUUUCAUGCAUUUAUGUACCUCCCCUAAUUAGUAUCAGCGUAUCUUGCUAGUUUUACAUAAAUACCAAAGAUUUUAUUUUGGAAAAAAAUUAUAUAUUCCAUCAUUAUGGCAUUUAAUGUUGAAGAUAACAUAUUGAGCCAAAAUAAAAUCUUUAGGUAUCGGCACUACAUUUAUGUCUCCAUUAUAAAAUAGUACCCAUACCGAUCUUGUUGGCUAUUUUGUAUCAUCCACACUUAUGUAUGUAUAUCUUACAUUUAUUUUAUAUUAUUUUUUGUGUGGUAUAUUGUUUUAGUAUAUACAGAGGCUUGCACAAUCAAAUCUUAUGCAUUGAUGAAUCUUGCAUACACAUGAUCUCAAAAAUAAGUAUUGCUGGAGUACUCCAUAGUCAUGAAUAUUAGGUAUCAUUAACUUUUUCUGCUAAAUUAAUGUUGAUGUAUCUUACUGAAUCUUCAUAAAUAUCAUGCAACCGUUUGUAUAUGUUAUAAUUAUUGAUAUUGUUUUUUGCUGCAUUUAUUAACCUUUAUUAUAUGGUGGCAUGUAUAAUUAUUGAUAUUGCUUCUUUUCGCUUCAUUUGUAUUAUACAUUGUUAUAAAUUUUGCAUUUAUAUUCUAUCAAUAAUAAAUAAAUGCUUGGACAAACGUAAGCUUGUACUUACUGACGAGUAUGCAGCCCGUCAGUAGCAACAUCAUUGUAGUAAACAUUUCAGAGUUUUUUCCCAUUAUGCUUAUAACCGGCUAUAAUAAUUGAUCUUUAAUGUUUGAUGCUUCAGUGUAUUUAUACAAAUGUCUCCCAUUUUAUUGAACAAAUGGAAGGGCACAGCAACCAAGAUCUUUCUUGUGGGUCUUGCAUAAUUGUAAACUGAUUACAUGGUUUCAUGCUUAUGCACAUCUUACUAUUCCUUAGUUAAAGUAGGAUUUGCAGUACUUUAUGCUUGAGUUGAUGUAUGUCAUCUGAAGUAGAAUGGAGCCUGAACCAAGUUGUAUGACUCAUUUUCACUAGGUUCACAUACUGAUGCUCUUCUGUAUGGAAUGUGAUACUGGGGUAUUAAUACUUAGUGUUGCUAUCUCAGAUAUAGUUAAAAAAAUUCUCCGGUUUUGUAACCUGGUACGGUUGAGUGGUGCAAUACUUUUCAACUAUUUGCACCUUUUAUUUGAAAACAUUGUAAGUUGUUGACGCUGAAAAGUGGCACGAUCAUAAAGAGUAGCUUGAGUUAUGUCAAGAUUAAUUCAGACUUAUUGUUGAAGUCACUAUGGGAUGGAUCUCUUCGAGAAGAUCAAAAUGGAUAUGAAGAUGGUCUAAAACAGAGCCCAGAUGCAAAAGUUGUGACAAGUUCAAAGAUUGGAUAUAGUAUUGACCCUAUAGUCUCGGUAGCCGAACCGGGACUGAAGGUAUUGGGAUUUAGGACCAACCCUAUAGUCCCGGUUCACGAACCGGGACAAAUGGGCCUUAUGAACUGGGACGAAUGGGCCUUUUUCUACUAGUGCAUAUUGGACCUACCCAAUAAAUAUUUCAGAAAUUCAUAAUAAAUCCUAGAGGCUAGCUUGGACCAUUCACGCAUGUCAAGAGCUGGGACUAAAGUUUAGUCCCACAUUGCUAGUUGAGAGAGAGUUAAACCUCCUCAUAAGGUGAGCUCUUUCCCCACUUGUAUGAGCAUGAUAAAAAAGAGAGGUUCUCACGCGCUCCUCCUCUGCCGCCUGCCUCGCCUCACCUUGCCUCAUCACGACACACUGCGUCACGCCACGGGCUGCGGGAAUGCCUAGAGCAUGCAUGAAGCUGAAGCGUUUUGUUGCUGUAGUUAGUGGAGAUUGGUUACGAGGUUUGUUGGGCUUUGGCUGCCACGUCUCCGUCUCCCGUCUCAUUGUUUUAUUUCCCUUCGCAGCCUAUUUUCCUCCUCUUUCUGUGCUUAUAAAAUAGAGGUCUCUCCUCUCCAUAGACACACAGAAACAAAGCACCACUUGCCUCCUACUACCAAGUUCCAGAGCACUGCGCUACCAGGUUCUUCCCCAUCCCGGCUUAUGACGUGCAGUGCCGAUUGGGACAGUAGGCCUCCGGAACCACGCGACAUUGAGGCAUGUACGGGUGAAGGAAAAUAAGGUGUUUGGGGAACGCUCUGUGCGACUACUGGCUUCUCCACCCCAGAUGUCGCUACAGACGUCGAAGACACUUUCCCCAAUGAUGAAUUCUUUUAGGACAUCGGCAACCUCUUCGGUAAUAAGGGCAACAGCAUCACGAAUGCCGCCGCCCCUGCUCCUAUCUAGGACGUGUUCACUUCUCCUUUGUUUAAUAUGUUUUUUUCCUGAUUUUAGUUCAAUUUCUUGGUCUAGUAAUUGGACUAGAUAUGCCAUGUUCAAAUUCACUACUACAUAUGUUAUUUUCUCACUCUCCGAUAGACUACAUGUCUAGUUUAAUCUUUACUAUUAUGGUCAUGUUUUAUCUACUAUUUUUAUGGAAUAAAUCAUAUGGUAAACUGCUCAUAUUUUCAACAUGCCCCAUGUACAUGUAUUGGUGUAACAAACACAUCCUAUGUGGUCGGUCUUCCUUCAUCAAAAUGUUCCAUGGCAAUCCAAUGAGAUUGAUGCCUCUAAUACCUAUGUUUAUAAGAAAAUAUAAGUUUAUUCAAUUAUUGGCAUCAGUAUACAGAAUUGCAUUGCAUAAGCUGAGAAACUUUGUGGCUCUCAUUUUGAUAUGGAACCGAAUUGUCUACAGCAGCACUGAAGAUGAUGCUGGUUGGUUUCGCAUUCCAAUUGAUAAGGUGGGCGAAAGCCUCUUUCUAAGCAGUCACUCUGGCACGACUCAUGAGUGCAACCCGCUAAAUCUCUGCAUGAGCGUCGUUGAACUACAAUGCAAUACAUCACAUAAUAAAACAAAUUAGUAAUACAGUCCAUAAAACAAAAAAAAUUGCUCAUAGAUUAAUUAAUUUCAACAUUUGGAAACAACAUGUAAAAUAUAAAUAAUGUUGCUUACUUGCUUGGCAGGACGACAACGUUGAGAACAUGAACACAAUGACCAAUAAAGCAACAGCUAUGUUGUACACGACCAUCAUUGUGUUUCUCUUGAUGAGUGCCAUGAGGAAAAAUGUGAC